rnacentral:lncRNA from 10 species
AGAUCACGCCACUGCACUCCAGCCUGGGCGACAGAGCGAGACUCCGUCUCAAAAAGAAAAAAAAUUGUAGGCCGGGCACAGUGGCUCAUGCCUGUAAUCCCAGCACUUUGGGAGGCCGAGGUGGGCAGAUUAUGAAGUCAGGAGAUCGAGACCAUCCUGGCUAACAUGGUGAAACCCCGUCUCUACUAAAACUACAAAAAGUAGCCAGGCGUGGUGGUGGGCGCCUGUAGUCCCACCUACUCAGGAGGCUUAGGCAGAAGAAUGGUGUGAACCCGGGAGGUAGAGCUUGCAGUGAGCCAAGAUCGAGCCACUUGCACUCCAGCCUGGGCUACAGAGCGAGACUUGUCUCAAAAAAAAAAAAAAAAAAAGAAAAAGAAAAAAGAAAGAAAUUUACUCUUUCUGGACGGGCGGGGUGAGGUGGCUCACGCCUAUAAUCACAGCACUUUGGGAGGCCGAGGCAGGUGAAUCAUGUGAGGGCUGAAGUUCGAGAGCAGCCUGGGCAACAUAGUAAAACCCUGUGCCUACAAAAAAUGCAAAAAUUAGCUGGGCAUGGUGGUGCACAUCUGUAAUCCCAUCUAUUCAGAAGGCUGAGGAAUGAGAAUCACUUGAGCCCAGGAGGCAGAGGUUGCAGUGAGCUGAGAUCGCACCACUGCACUCCAGCCUGGGUGACAGGGCAAGACUCGGUCUCAAAAAAAAUGUUUUUAAAGGCCUGGCACGGUGGCUCAUGCCUGUAAUCCCAGCACUUUGGGAGGCCGAGGCAGGCGGAUCACCUGAGGUCAGGAGUUCAAGACCAGCCUGGCUAACGUGGUGAAACUGUCUUCCACUAAAAAUACAAAAAAGUAACCGAGCUUGGUGGCAUGCGCCUGUAAUACCAGCUGCUUGGGAGGGUGAAGCAGGAGAAUCGCUUGAACUCAGGAGGGGUGGCUGCAGUGAGCUGAAAUCAUGCCACUGUACUUCAGCUUGGGCAACAGGAGGGAAACUCCAUCUCAAAUAAAAAGAAAAGAAAGUUUAUUCUUUCUGAGAGCCCCUACCCAUCAGGGUUUCAUCUGCAUUAAAAGACAGCCCUCCGUAGCCAGGCCUUUCUUCUCUCUCUUCCAUAACCUGUCUCACCAGUCUCCAAGUCCUGAUUCUUCUUUAACCUCAGAGUGAUAUAAAAACUUCGUCGGCCACCGUGCCUGGCCUACUCACGGCCAUUUCUAUGAUUCUACCUCACAGAACUACCUCAUGGGGUUGCUUGAAGAUUAAAUGUGAUGAUUUUGUAAAGCAGUGCCUCGCACACAGGAAAUGCCCUGUAUGUGUUGGAAAAUCAAUACCUGCAGUGGCUGGGCACGGUGGUUCACACCUGUAAUCCCAGCACUUCGGGAGGCCAAGGUGGGCGGAUCACCUAAGGUCAGGAGCUUGAGACCAGCCUGGCCAACAUGGCAAAACCCCAUCUCCACUAAAAAUACAAAAAUUAGCCGGGCAUGGUGGCGGGUGCCUGUAAUCCCAGCUACUCAGGAAGCUGAGGCAGGAGAAUCGCUUGAACCCAGGAGGUGGAGUUUGCAGUGAGCCGAGAUUGUGCCACUGCACUCCAGCCUGGGUGACAGAACGAGACUGUCUCAAAAAAAA